GACGAAGGGGGCAAGCGUUGUUCGGAAUUACUGGGCGUAAAGGGCGCGUAGGCGGUUCUUUAAGUCAGGCGUGAAAGCCCUGGGCUCAACCUGGGAGUGGCGCUUGAUACUGGAGGACUAGAGAGUGGGAGAGGUUGGUGGAAUUCCCAGUGUAGAGGUGAAAUUCGUAGAUAUUGGGAAGAACACCGGUGGCGAAGGCGGCUCUCUGGACCGUAACUGACGCUGAGGCGCGAAAGCGUGGGGAGCAAACAGG
rnacentral:rRNA from 1 species